GCGAGGCUGACGCCGCUGAGCCCGCGGAGGGGGCUAUGGGCGCCCUUCCGGAUCCCGCACCUGAAAGCACGGGACGCUGGGGCUCCGGCUGCCGACAAGGUUUAGCUGAACGAAGGUAGGGAGAUCGCUCGGGGAACUUGGCCAAAUCGACACAGAAGUACAAAGGCAAUGGGGCCAGGGCAAAGCAAAGGAAGUGGGCCCCUGCACCGGAGGAGGCUGCAGUCUCCAGCGAGCAGCCAGCACCGAACGAGGAGGAGCAGUUAAGAGGAAACGGCGUGGGGGUCCACGGUGCCCGAAAGUUUGUUUGGUGGCCGAGAGUCCAGCCCUCUUCGCCCCCGAGACCCGCGCAACCGCGCGCGGAGGUUUCACUCCCCAAGGUGGGCAGUGAGUGACUCGGUCCGGAGGAGCGUGCGCCCCGAGCCGGGGGCGGGGGGGGGGGGGGCGGCCGGAAAGCUUCCGCCCGCUGUUUGCACUUAAAGGUGUGUUGGGCUCGGGAGCGGCUUUUCCGGGGCUUGGCCAGCGCGCCCGCCACCUCCCGGCCGCCGUUGGCCGGUCCCUCCCUCCGCAGUUCGCCCUCUCAGGGCGCCGCGCCCCGGGCAGCUCCGCACCUGGGCCUCACCUCUG
ensembl:lncRNA